rnacentral:ncRNA from 2 species
AAUAAUAGUUUAGAAAUAGGUUUUUCAAAGAGUCGCAUCAAAGUGGCUGUUUGAAACGAAGAGGGAAGUUGGUGAAAGUCCAACACGAACCCGUCACUGUAAUCGACGAGGAAAUCCCGCGUAUCCACUGUGCGAGAGCAUGGGAAGGGGCGGGGCGGCCACGUUAGUCGUAAGUCAGGAGACCUGCCUAUUUCGAUAGUUAGCU